CGUAGGGUGCGAGCGUUGUCCGGAAUUAUUGGGCGUAAAGGGCUCGUAGGCGGUUUGUCGCGUCGGGAGUGAAAACCUCGGGCUUAACUCGGGGCUUGCUUCGAUACGGGCAGACUAGAGGUAUGCAGGGGGAGAACGGAAUUCCUGGUGUAGCGGUGAAAUGCGCAGAUAUCAGGAGGAACACCGGUGGCGAAGGCGGUUCUCUGGGCAUGAUCUGACGCUGAGGAGCGAAAGUGUGGGGAGCGAACAGGAUUAGAUACCCUGGUAGUCCACACCGUAAACGUUGGGCGCUAGGUGUGGGAUCCAUUCCACGGGUUCCGUGCCGCAGCUAACGCAUUAAGCGCCCCGCCUGGGGAGUACGGCCGCAAGGCUA
rnacentral:rRNA from 1 species